rnacentral:ribozyme from 1 species
GUCCCUCCCUCUUUUUCUUCUUCUUCUUCUUCCCCUCGCUCUCGGUCUCCCUCUCCCACUCCUUCUCCCUCUUCAAACUCUUCUCCCAAUCAUUAUUACAAAAAGUUAUUUGAGUUAGCGUCCAAUGUUUUCUCUCUUUUCGGUGAAACUUUCAGCAGUGGGGU